rnacentral:rRNA from 1 species
GACGUAGGGUGCGAGCGUUGUCCGGAUUUAUUGGGCGUAAAGAGCUCGUAGGCGGCUCGUCGCGUCGACCGUGAAAACCCGCGGCUUAACUCCGGGCCUGCAGUGGGUACGGGCAGACUAGAGUGCGGUAGGGGAGACUGGAAUUCCUGGUGUAGCGGUGAAAUGCGUAGAUAUCGAGAGGAACACCUGAGGUGAAGACGGGUUGCUGGGCCGACACUGACGCUGAAGCGCGAAAGCCAGGGGAGCAAACGGG